rnacentral:rRNA from 1 species
CUACGGGGUGCAGCAGUCGAGGAAAUUUUACAAUGCUCGAAAGAGUGAUAGAAUAAGCCAGAGUGUUUCUCUUAGAGAAACUUUUGCCUGUUGUAAAAAGACAGGCGAAUAAGGACUGGGAAAGACCGGUGCCAGCCGCCGCGGUAAUACCGGCGGUCCGAGUCGCAUCCACAUUUAUUGGGUCUAAAACAUUCGUAGCUUGUUUUGUAAGUCUCUUGUGAAAUUCUAUAUCUCAAGUAUAGAGCGUGCAAGAGAUACUACAUAACUAGAGACCGGAAGACGUAAGGAGUAUGAUUGAGGUAGCGGUAAAAUGCGUUAAUCUUAAUCAGACUAACAAUAGCGAAGGCACCUUACGAGUACGGAUCUGACAGUGAGGAAUGAAGGCCAGGGUCGCGAAAGGGAUUAGAUACCCCAGUAGUC